ACAGCUCAGUGAACAACAAAGGUGACAAAGAAUGACACUCCACAAGGAUACUUCGCCCCUAGUGGAGGGCUUGAAUCAAGUUCCCAAGCAGGAGUUUCUAAGCGUUCUUAGCAGGGUGUACGAGGGACACGGAACCGCCAUUGUUUUUAUCGAGCAGCACAUUCUCUCUGCUCUCAGCCGCCUAGGAAUUGCAACACGGAACUUUGGUCGCGACAAAGGAGUCGUCGGCGUCUUUCCGUUUCAAAACGACAUUAACUACGUUUCAGCCGACAACGUUGUGUACAUUCUGAACCCAGACCUGAGCAGCAUGCGAUCCGUUGUCGUUCACUUGCUUUCCUAUACGCAGCGAUUUGCAAAUUCAAAGCCGACGAUUCUCUAUGUCCCCCAAAAAACGUUGAUUGCAGAGCAGGUGAUGGAGGACGAGUUCAAGCUCUCCCAUACAUUUCCGAGCUUACGCAUCGCAAGUCUUGAUGUAGACUACGUUUUUCUGGAGGAGAAGUUUUUUACAAUGACGCUGCCGCUAUCGUUCAAAUCGGUGUUUGCAGACGGCGACUUGAGCAACCUGACUUGGAUUGCCAGGCUUUUGCUUAAGCUGCAAACAUCGCGCUUCGGUGCCAUUCGACACAUCCGUGGAAAGGGCAGCAACGCGGCCAGGGUCGUUCAGCUUCUUCAGCGCAUGCAGAACUAUAUCGGCCACGAUUUCAUCACUGACAUUCCCUCCGAAGUAGAGACGCUCAUCAUUAUCGAUCGUUCCGCAGACUUCGUCACACCGCUGAUGACACAGCUCACGUACGAAGGGCUUAUAGACGAGUUGUACGACAUUGAGAACUGUGAGGUGCAAUUUCCGUUCAGCCUGGGCGAGAGUUCCGGUGUGGGGGCGAGCGAGAAGGUUGUUCUGAACAACACGGACAGAAUGUUUGCUGAAAUUCGCGACAAGAGUUUCACCGGGGUGGGAUCGGUGCUUUACCAAAAAUCCAUCUGGGUAAAGCAAAACUAUGACAAGCGGAAGGAGGUUCAGCAGCUGAAGGAGCUGAAGGAGUUCAUGAAAGGGCUCCCAGAGAUGCAGGAAAUGCAUCGAUUGAUUGGCAUUCAUACGAAUGUUGCUACUGAAAUCAGCAAAACCACGCAGAGCACAGAUUUUAGGAAACGUAUCCUGUUUGAGCACAACAUCAUUCAACAGAUCAAUGAGGGUGAUGUUCUGAGAUAUAUUGAGGAUCUUGUUUUUCGCAAGGAAAAGUUUGAGGUCGUUGCCCGCCUACUGGCGCUCCUGUCCCUUGUCAACGGUGGGCUGCGCGAGAAGGACUUGCUCAGCCUCAAGGAGAACAUGAUGCUUGUCUACGGCAUUCCGCAUGUGAUCACCGCCUUUUUCCUGCUGGAGAGGUGCGGCUUGCUUUGCGCACAGAGCGGAAAGGGAAGCAGCUACCCGACCAUUCGCAAGCAGCUUCAAACCUGGAAUUCAUCGCUGACUGAGGAGCAUCCGAAUGAUAUCACCUACGCGUACGGCGGCUACGCACCCCCUUUUGUCCGCAUGGUAGACACUCUACUACGCAAUCCACAAGCCUGGGACGCGGAGGAUGACGCACCAAGUCUUCUCCCUGGUGAAAAGAUGGAGUUAAUGAAUGACGUAGAGAUUGCCAGCACAGCAAAGACGGCCAUCGUCUUUGUUAUUGGCGGAAUCACAGCUUCGGAGGUGAGUGCCCUGCGCUUUGUAGAGGAGCGGCUGUCAAGCGGCGGAAGACCUCAUCGCAUCUUUAUAGGCACCACAGACCUCAUAAGCGGAAAUCGCAUGAUUCGAUCGUUGCUUCCGUUUGACCCGGCUCGGUGAAGGCAUUAUCUCUCUCUGCGCUCCGCUUUCCGUUUGUUUGUUCCCCCUUUUCCCUUGCGUGUGUGAGCAACAGCUUCGCAAUAGCAG
rnacentral:misc_RNA from 1 species